rnacentral:rRNA from 1 species
AAUCAACGCUGGCGGCGUGCCUAACACAUGCAAGUCGAACGAGAAAGCAGGAGCAAUCUUGUGAGUAAAGUGGCGACCGGGUGAGUAACACGUGACUAACCUGCCCUUGAGUGGGGGAUAACCUCGGGAAACCGGGGCUAAUACCGCAUAAUUUCAUGAGGUGAAAGUCCUUAUGAUCAAAGGAGCAAUUCGCUGAAGGAGGGGGUCGCGGCUGAUUAGCUAGUUGGUGAGGUAACGGCCCACCAAGGCAAUGAUCAGUAGCCGGCCUGA